AGCGAACGCUGGCGGCAGGCUUAACACAUGCAAGUCGAACGCUCGUCUUCGGACGGGAGUGGCAGACGGGUGAGUAACACGUGGGAACGUACCCUUUGGUUCGGAAUAACACAGGGAAACUUGUGCUAAUACCGGAUACGCCCUUUUGGGGAAAGGUUUACUGCCGAAGGAUCGGCCCGCGUCUGAUUAGCUAGUUGGUGGGGUAACGGCCUACCAAGGCGACGAUCAGUAGCUGGUCUGAGAGGAUGAUCAGCCACACUGGGACUGAGACACGGCCCAGACUCCUACGGGAGGCAGCAGUGGGGAAUAUUGGACAAUGGGCGCAAGCCUGAUCCAGCCAUGCCGCGUGAGUGAUGAAGGCCUUAGGGUUGUAAAGCUCUUUUGUCCGGGACGAUAAUGACGGUACCGGAAGAAUAAGCCCCGGCUAACUUCGUGCCAGCAGCCGCGGUAAGAC
rnacentral:rRNA from 1 species